GGAUUUCUGGCGCUGGACAGGUGGCGCCGUGUGGGGGAGGGCGUGGCACUUCCGGUGCACCUUCUGAAUAUGUGCUGGAGUCCCGGCCUGUCCUCGGUGUGCCCGUGACCUCUCCCGGCACGUGCAGCAGCUUCUCCUGCUGUGAAUCGGGAUACUCUCUGGUGGAGGGGACGCUGCAGCAGAGGCAAGACUGAGCAAACCGCAGAACCUAAUUAUAUCUCACAGAAGACUUUCGAGCCAAAAACCACACUUCUGAAAAGAUGCUGUAGACCCCUCCUCACGGCCCCUCGGAAGCCAGCACAGGGACGCCCACCUCGGUGGAGCACAGAGCCACAUGUGUUUCUGCUCAGUGGGGGCACUAACUGAAGCCAGAUGUACCUGGCUGCCCGCAGCAGAAGAAGCCAUGACUUCACGUCGCAGCA
rnacentral:lncRNA from 1 species